rnacentral:rRNA from 1 species
GACGAACGCUGGCGGCGUGCCUAAUACAUGCAAGUCGAGCGCAGGAAAUCGACGGAACCCUUCGGGGGGAAGUCGACGGAAUGAGCGGCGGACGGGUGAGUAACACGUGAAGAACCUGCCCUCAGGUCUGGGAUAACCACGAGAAAUCGGGGCUAAUACCGGAUGGGUCAUCGGACCGCAUGGUCUGAGGAUGAAAGGCGCUCCGGCGUCGCCUGGGGAUGGCUUUGCGGUGCAUUAGCUAGUUGGUGGGGUAAUGGCCCACCAAGGCGACGAUGCAUAGCCGACCUGAGAGGGUGAUCGGCCACACUGAGACUGAGACACGGCCCAGACUCCUACGGGAGGCAGCAGUAGGGAAUCUUCCACAAUGGACGGAAGUCUGAUGGAGCAACGCCGCGUGAACGAUGAAGGCCUUCGGGUCGUAAAGUUCUGUUGUAAGGGAAGAACAAGUGCCGCAGGCAAUGGCGGCACCUUGACGGUACCUUGCGAGAAAGCCACGGCUAACUACGUGCCAGCAGCCGCCGUAAUAC